rnacentral:rRNA from 1 species
CAUUAUCGAAAGCAACAAAGUCCGAAGGGGGGAAAAAAAAAGAGGGUGAUGCUAGGUGGGGACGACUGUCGCUGGCAUAUAUCGUAUGCAUGUGCACGUCGAAACCUUGGCUCGCCCCUCUUCCUUUCGGCGUAAUGCUUAAUACACCUGUGAACCUGUUGUAGGUUGUUCCCCUACGAGCAGUAGGGAGGACGAUCUAUGUCUUUCCAUCACACUACAUGUAUGUCUACAGAACGUUGAAAGUCGUCUCGACCCUUGACGGGGUUGGACGCAAAACUAUAAUACAACUUUCAGCAACGGAUCUCUUGGCUCUCGCAUCGAUGAAGAACGCAGCGAAUUGCGAUAAGUAAUGUGAAUUGCAGAUUUUCAGUGAAUCAUCGAAUCUUUGAACGCACCUUGCGCUCCUUGGUAUUCCGAGGAGCAUGCCUGUUUGAGUGUCAUCGAAUUCUCAACCAUGUCUUGAUGUUAACUUUCGAGGCAUGGCUUGGACUUGGGAGCUUUGCUGGUUGGACCCCCCUCUCUUUGAGGGGGGGAAUGUCAGCUCUCCUCAAAAGCAUUAGCAAAAGGGGACGUGUUCGUCGCAUGAACUGACGGCCUUCGACGUGAUAAUGAUCGUCGUGGCUGGAGGGAAAAGUGUGAUGGCGAAGGUCUGUCCUAGCUUCUAAUCAAAGGCGAGGGGCUUGUGUCACGCAUGCCCUCUGUCUUAUCGAACCUUGACCUCAAAUCAGGUAGGACUACCCGCUGAACUUAAGCAUAUCAA